CUGGUUCAAGCGAUUCUCCUGCCUCAGCCUCCCGAGUAGCUGGGACUACAGGCCUCAUGGACAGGCUCCUGCCACCCACCACUCAGUCAGAAACCAGCCUCCCAGCUACCCGCUAACCCCGCUCUCAGCCCUCUCUCCCUGCACCACGGCCAAGAUGGCUUCAGUCCAAGCCCCGCUCCAGCCAGUCCCUCAUGCCUGCCCUCCGUGCAGCUGAUGUCGCCAGCCUCUGGAGGAAACCCAAGCCUGCUCUGAAGGGUUUCAGGAAGGUGCUCAGCUCUUGCAGAGGCAGCCGGGGCUCUUCAAAGUGCACCGUCUCACCCCUGGCCCCAGAUGGCACGUGCCUCUCUAACGGGACCAUGCCCCAGCUGACACUCACUCGACUCCCAACCACUGUCUCCUCCAGGAGGCCAAGGCCGCCCCAGGCUCCCUGCGGGUCACCACCUUCUCUGUCCAGUUCCGGGAAAGCACU
rnacentral:lncRNA from 1 species